UCGUUGCAGGUGUAGGUUAGUUUGAAGCACGAGCCCUCGGCAAGCAGUUAAUUCCGUAGAAAAGGUGGAUCAGACCUUGCGAGACAUCCGGCGAACGACACGAAAAUUCGUUCCGUGGCCGAGCUAAUACAAAUCGGAUAUUCGACUUUCUCCAUUGUACAACGUCGAACGGCAUCGAUCCUUGCCGCUAUCGACCAACGACUAUGACCCGAAGACAUCGUUCAAUUCACUUUAUCGGGUUAACAGCUCCCCGCGAGUCGAACGAAGGCACCGAGAUCUUGUAGAAUGCAUGAUAAAUUCCAGACAAACGCGCUCUCGGUUUCGAGAAAGUGCGUCCCAGCAGCAGGAUUAUCGCGGGCACACGGGCAACAUAAUAACUGCAUGAGGUCUCCGUGGGCGGUCGCGCGCCGCCUACGCCGUCGUGUUUCAUCUUCAACACGGAAUUAAGCACGGCGAGGGCUGCGAAUGCUGCGCCGGACAGGCUUGUUUACACUUAAUUUAGUGAUUAAAGUGUUACCUGUAUCCGUUCCGCGUCUAGAAAAUUCAACGAUCGAGAGAACGAAGCCGGCUGAAUGGAGGGACACUUGUUGAAGACCUCCGCUAAUGAAUAUCGUUCCGCUCGGACUACGUUUUCGUACUGUGUAUGUGUAUGUGU